GCGGGARAAGCUCAAAUUUAAAAUCUGACGGUCUUUUGGUCGUCCGAGUUGUAAUCUAGAGAAGUGUUAUCCGCGUUGGACCGUGUACAAGUCUCCUGGAAUGGAGCGUCAUAGAGGGUGAGAAUCCCGUCUUUGACACGGACUACCAGUGCUUUGUGAUGCGCUCUCAAAGAGUCGAGUUGUUUGGGAAUGCAGCUCAAAAUGGGUGGUAAAUUCCAUCUAAAGCUAAAUAUUGGCGAGAGACCGAUAGCGAACAAGUACCGUGAGGGAAAGAUGAAAAGAACUUUGGAAAGAGAGUUAAACAGUACGUGAAAUUGCUGAAAGGGAAACGCUUGAAGUCAGUCGCGUUGUCCGGGAAUCAACCUUGCUUUUGCUGGGUGUACUUUCCGGUUGACGGGUCAGCAUCAAUUUUGACCGUUGGAUAAAGUGUAGGGGAAUGUGGCAUCUUUGGAUGUGUUAUAGCCCUUGCUCGCAUACAACGGUUGGGAUUGAGGAACUCAGUACGCCGCAAGGCCGGGAAUUUAUUCUACGUUCGUACUUAGGAUGCUGGCAUAAUGGCUUUAAUCGACCCGUCUUGAAACACGGACCAAGGAGUCUAACAUGCCUGCGAGUGUUUGGGUGGAAAACCCGAGCGCGUAAUGAAAGUGAAAGUUGAGAUCCCUGUCGUGGGGAGCAUCGACGCCCGGACCAGACCUUUUGUGACGGAUCUGCGGUAGAGCAUGUAUGUUGGGACCCGAAAGAUGGUGAACUAUGCCUGAAUAGGGUGAAGCCAGAGGAAACUCUGGUGGAGGCUCGUAGCGAUUCUGACGUGCAAAUCGAUCGUCAAAUUUGGGUAUAGGGGCGAAAGACUAAUCGAACCAUCUAGUAGCUGGUU
rnacentral:rRNA from 1 species